AAGGGUGUAGCAAAAUAGUAUAGCAUCUCUUUUACACUGAGAAAUCAUCUGUGCAAAUCGGAUCGUCCUGAC
rnacentral:tRNA from 1 species